AUCUUGGAGAGUUUGAUCCUGGCUCAGGACGAACGCUGGCGGCGUGCUUAACACAUGCAAGUCGAACGAAGAGCGAUGGAAGCUUGCUUCUAUCAAUCUUAGUGGCGAACGGGUGAGUAACGCGUAAUCAACCUGCCCUUCAGAGGGGGACAACAGUUGGAAACGACUGCUAAUACCGCAUACGAUCUAAUCUCGGCAUCGAGGAUAGAUGAAAGGUGGCCUCUACAUGUAAGCUAUCACUGAAGGAGGGGAUUGCGUCUGAUUAGCUAGUUGGAGGGGUAACGGCCCACCAAGGCGAUGAUCAGUAGCCGGUCUGAGAGGAUGAACGGCCACAUUGGGACUGAGACACGGCCCAGACUCCUACGGGAGGCAGCAGUGGGGAAUCUUCCGCAAUGGACGAAAGUCUGACGGAGCAACGCCGCGUGAGUGAUGACGGCCUUCGGGUUGUAAAGCUCUGUUAAUCGGGACGAAAGGCCUUCUUGCGAAUAGUGAGAAGGAUUGACGGUACCGGAAUAGAAAGCCACGGCUAACUACGUGCCAGCAGCCGCGGUAAUACGUAGGUGGCAAGCGUUGUCCGGAAUUAUUGGGCGUAAAGCGCGCGCAGGCGGAU
rnacentral:rRNA from 1 species